ensembl:lncRNA
ACACACACACUUUACACACGCACUCUACACACACACUCUACACACACACUAUACACACACACUCUACACACACACUAUACACACACACUGUACACACACACUAUACACACACACUGUACACACACACUCUACACACACACACUCUACACUCUACACACACUCUACACACACUCUACACACACACUCUACACACACAUACAUUGUAAUAUUCUAUUAUUGUACAUUUUGUGAUGGAAUUGUUUCAUACCUGUUUGCACCCCAGGAAGAGUAGCUGCUGCCUUGGUAGGAACUAAUGGGGAUCCUAUUAAAUACUAAAUACGCUCCUCUCCUUCUCCCAAACCCACCAUCCCUUGGAUCAAGCACUCUUCCCUGAGCUCCACAUCUAAUAAUGGCACCAUCAUUCCUCACUCUAAUUCUUUUGGCAGGGCCUGUCAAACAGCAUAUGCUGGAGGACACUGUGACUUUGAAAUGCUGCUAAUGACCCAAGGAUAUUUUCCCCUCGCUCGCUGGUGAUUAGAGAGAGAGAGGACCGAGGGAGGGAGGAGAGAAAAAGAGAGAAGGGUGCGAGAGAAAAGGAAUAAGAGACAGAGAUAUAAAGAGUGAGAGGGAGAGAGAAAAAGAGAGGGAGAUAUAAAGAGAGGGAGAGAGAUAAAGAGAGGAAGAGAUAUAUAAGGAGAGGGAGAGAGAUACAAAGAGAGAGAGAGAGAGAUAAAGAGAGGGAGAGAGAUAUAAGGAGAGAGAGAGAGAGAGAUAAAGAGAGGGAGAGAGAGAUAAAGAGAGGGAGAGAGAUAUAAGGAGAGGGAGAUAUAAAGAGAGGGAGAGAGAUAUAAAGAGGGAGAUGUAAAGAGAGGGAGAGAGAUAUAAAGCGAGGGAGAUAGAUAUAAAGAGUGGGAGAGAGAGAUAAAGAGAGGGAGAGAGAUAUAAGGAGAGGGACAGAUAUAUAAAGAGAGGGAGAUAUAAAGAGAGGGAGAGAAAGAUAAAGAGAGGGAGAGAGAUAUAAAGAGAGGGAGAGAGAGAUAAAGAGAUAUAAAGAGAGGGAGAGAGAGAUAAAGAGAGGGAGAUAUAAAGAGAGGGAGAGAGAGAUAAAGAGAGGGAGAUAUAAAGAGAGGGAGAUAAAGAGAAGGAGAGAGAUAUAAAGAGAGGGAGAGAGAUGAAGAGAGGGAGAUAUAAAGAGAGGGAUAGAGAUAUAAAUAGAGGGAGAGAGAUAUAAAGAGAGAGAGAGAUAUAAAGGGAGGGACAGAGAUGAAGAGAGGGAGAUAUAAAGAGAGGGAUAGAGAUAUAAAGAGAGAGAGAGAUAUAAAGGGAGGGAGAGAGAUGAAGAGAGGGAGAUAUAAAGAGAGGGAUAGAGAUAUAAAGAGAGGGAGGGAGAUAUAAAGGGAGGGAGAGAGAUGAAGAGAGGGAGAUAUAAAGAGAGGGAG